rnacentral:rRNA from 1 species
UGGUCAAGUUAUUAAGGGUGCAGGGCGGAUGCCUUGGCACUAGGAGCCGAUGAAGGACGUGAUAAGCUGCGAUAAGCUUCGGGGAGUUGCACGUAAACUUUGAUCCGAAGAUUUCCGAAUGAGGAAACUCACUUAGAGUAAUGUCUAAGUAUCAUUAAGUGAAUACAUAGCUUAAUGAGGGGAACUCAGGGAACUGAAACAUCUAAGUACCUGAAGGAAGAGAAAGAAAUUCGAUUCCGUAAGUAGCGGCGAGCGAACGCGGAUUAGCCCAAACCAAUAAAGUUUUCUUUAUUGGGGUUGCGGACAUAUCAUAACGAAGAGGUAUCGUAAUUGAAGAGGUUUGGAAAGACCCACCACAGAAGGUAAUAGUCCUGUAUGUUAAACGAGAAGACUUCAGAUAUGAUCCAGAGUACCACGGGACACGUGAAACCCUGUGGGAAGCAGGAGGGACCACCCUCCAAGGCUAAAUACUACCUAGUGACCGAUAGCGUAUAGUACCGUGAGGGAAAGGUGAAAAGAACCCCGGGAGGGGAGUGAAAUAGAACCUGAAACCCUGCACUUACAAGCUGUGGAAGCACAUUUCUUGUGUGACCGCGUACUUUUUGUAGAACGGGCCAACGAGUUACGUUAAGUAGCAAGGUUAAGCACUUAAGGUGCGGAGCCGUAGCGAAAGCGAGUUUUAACUGAGCGUUCAGUUACUUGACGUAGACCCGAAACCGGGCGACCUACCCAUGAGCAGGAUGAAGCGAAAGUAAAAUUUCGUGGAGGUCCGAACCCACGAGCGUUGAAAAGCUCGGGGAUGACUUGUGGGUAGCGGUGAAAUUCCAAUCGAGCCCGGAGAUAGCUGGUUCUCCCCGAAAUAGCUUUAGGGCUAGCCUCAAGGUGAGAGAUACGGAGGUAGAGCACUGAAUGUCCUAGGGGGUAUUGCACCUACCGAAGACUAUCAAACUCCGAAUGCCGUCAUCUUAUACUUGGGAGUCAGACUGUGGGUGAUAAGAUUCAUAGUCGAAAGGGCAACAGCCCAGAUCGUCAGCUAAGGUCCCUAAAUGUAAGUUAAGUGGUAAAGGAUGUGGGAUUGCACAGACAACCAGGAUGUUGGCUUAGAAGCAGCCACUCAUUCAAAGAGUGCGUAAUAGCUCACUGGUCGAGUGAUCCUGCGCCGAAGAUUUCCGGGGCUAAAACUUACUACCGAAGCUACGGCAUCAGUAAUGAUGGGUAGGGGAGCUUCCCAUACGGGUUGAAGCAUGACCGUAAGGACAUGUGGACAGUAUGGGAGUGAGAAUGUUGGCAUGAGUAGCGAGAUGUGGGUGAGAAUCCCACAGGCCGUAAACCCAAGGUUUCCAGGGGAAGGUUCGUCCGCCCUGGGUUAGUCGGGACCUAAGCUGAGGCCGAAAGGCGUAGGUGAUGGACAACAGGUUGAU